UCACCCGUCCACAGCACCGCCUCCACCUUGCUCCCCGCCUUCCCGAUACCUAUUCACCCUUCCUCCACUAUUCCUUCCUACGCAGUCCGGCUCGUUAUCAGGCGUCAGCCGCACGAUCUGCGCAUAUGCUUGACCUUUUGGCGGCCAUGUUUGUUGGGGGCGCCAACGGCAACGUGCGGGGAAAACAUGUCGCCAGUUUCUAGACAUGGAGUGAGUAGGUCGGGGUGACCGGUGAUUCCCGAAGAUGGUCGCGGGCAGUUCUUUAUCAUUUGAGGUCAGUGUGACGGGCCUUUCCUCGGUCUGGCCCGUUUCACUAUGGCGGAGUCAGAAGGAAGAGUAGCUGAGAAUGUGUUUGUGUGGAAGUAGAGGCGGGUGUAGCCAGGAUCCACGUGGAAGCUGACCUUAACUCUACAAGUGAUGCUGCCAGGGCAGGCGAGCUUAGGAAAAAAGAACCAGUUUUCCAGGACAGGAUUCUAGAUUUGAAGGUGUCGAGAUAGAAGAAGAGUUAUUGCUGGGUACAGAGGUGUGUUAGUGAGUGAGGUGUCUCCACUCGGCUAGACAUUAGAAAAGGUUGGUAUAAGUCAAUUUAGAGGUCACUUUAACUCACUUUGUUGGACGGUUGCCUUUUACAGUCGAAGUAGUGUGAUGCCAAUAGAGUGCGUUCAGUUCCUAUCACCGGAUGAGUUAUUGUGGCCCUCAGAUUGAGACCUAACAAGGUUAAAUCACUAAUCACUCUAACGAGAGAGCAGCCCUGUGGCCCGGUAAGACUGAAGACCAUGGGCAAGUGCCAAAGGCUGUGGCAAGGAUAUGAAAAAGACGGAGGAAUGGACCGCACAAGCGUGUUUUCUUUCUCGAUUCAGUACUGUUAUGAAUAAUCUUUGGUCUCAAUGUCAAUCUGCCUGUUCACCAUGUUCCUUAAUUUCCUGGGAAACCAAAAAUCUGCCUUAAAGCAAUUCAACAGUGAAACAUUUCACAACCACCAGGGUAGAAAAUCUCAAAGAGUUAACUUUAUGAAAAAAUUUCUUGCAUCUCAAUGCUAAAUGAGCAGCCUCUUCCUCAGUCCUUUCUUGUUGCACAAUCUUCAGUAGGGACAAAUAAGUCUCUGUCAGCUUGUCAAGUCCCUUCAGAAAACUGAAUGUUUCAAUGAGGUCACUUUUCAUUCUGUUAAACCCCAGAGAAAAUGGACUCAUUUAAUCAGUUUCUCAUCAUACUAUCUCUACACAAGUUUAUUCUUAACACCUCCCCCCCAAAAAAAAGUCUCAAACUGCUCACUGGUGUGGACGGUUAAAGGCAGUCUUCCUUAUUCUUGCAUUCACCUCAUCCUUGCAAAAAAAGCCAACAUGUCAUUUGCCUUCCUAGUUGCUAGCUCUACCUGCAUGCUAACUUUGUGUUCCUUGUACAAGUACACUCGCGUAUCACUGAAUGUGAACAUUUGGAAGUUUAAUACUGCUUUUAAAAUAAGUUUUUCUAUUCUUAUGACCAAAGCUAAUCAUUUCCUAUUUUCCCAUUAUACUCCAUCUGUCAAAUUGUUACCCACUCGCUUAAUCUGCUUAUGACUCUUGGCUGGCUGUUUGUGCCCACCUUGUCAUAGAGUCAUACAGCACAGAAACAGACCUUUUGGUCCAACUAGUCCAGGGUGACCGUGCUUCCAAACUAAAUUAGUCCCAACUGCCUGCGCUUGCUACUUUACAUUCCUGCCACCUUUUUAUUGUACAAAAACUUAGGAACAUGACCUCUGUCCUCACCUAAGUAAUAACUUUACAAUGUAUAUAGUUGAAACUACCACUGAUCCUUGCAGCAUUCUGCUGUUCACAGCUUCAAUAUGCUCACUUAUGCCUGUUUUUUCUCCCUAUCCACUAGCAAUCCUUCAACCAUGCUUUUGUAUCACACUUAUCUUCGGAGUUUUUGGACAUUACCGACUCAACCAGCAUUUAUUGCCUAUCCCAUUUGCCCUUGAAACGUUGACAAUGAGCUGUCACUUUGAACCACUGCUGUCCAUGUGCUAUAGUUAGACCCACAAUGCCCUUAAGGAAGGAAUUCAAGGAUUUUGCCCAAUGACAGUGAAGGAAUAGUAACAUAUUUCCAAGUCAGGAUAGUCAGUGGCUUGAAAAAAGACUUAAUGGUAGUGUUCCCAUGAAUCUACUGCCCUUGUCCGUCUGGAUUUAGUCGGCAUGGGUUUGGAAAAUGCUGUCUGAGGUGCUUUAGGUAAAUUUCUGUAUCUUGUAGAAGCAGAGUGUGAGGAAAUGGAUGUUUGUGCAUGUGAUGCACAUCAAGCAGGCUGCUUGGCCCUGGCUGAGGUCAAGCUUUCUUGAGUGUGGUUGGAACUGUAGUCAUCUAGACAAAUGGGUGCUGCAAUCCAUCACGCUCCUAACUUGUGUCUUACAGAUGAUGGGUAGGCUUUAUGGUGUGAGGUAGUAAGUUACUUGCUGCAGUAUUCUGAUCUGUUGUAACCACUGUAUUUAAAUGGCUAGAUCAGCUCAGUUUCUGGCCAGUGGUAAUAACCAGAAUGUUAAUAGUGGUGAAAUCAGUGGUAGUACCACCAAUGAAUGUCAGGGGCGAUGGUUAAAACUCUCUUACUGGAGAUUGUCAUUAUCUGGCAUUUGUGUAGUGUAAAUAUUAUUUGCCAGUUUUAUCGCAAGCCAGGAUAUUGUUCAAAUUUUGCUGUAUUUGGACAUGGACUACUUCAGUAUCUGAGAAGUUGCAAAUAGUGCUGAACAUUGAUGAUUGCACAAUGAACAGCCCAAUUUCUGACCCUGUGAUGGAAGAAAGGCUGUUGAUGAAGCAGCUGAAGACGGUGUUAGGCCCAGGAGACUACACUGAGGAACUUCUGUCCAGAGCUCAGAUGACUGGCCUUCAGCAACCAUAGCCAUCUUCCUUUGUGCCAGUGUCUGCAUUGCCCAUGAAGAGACACAAAGUAUUCUUGGACAGCAACUUCUGCAUCUGCAUGUUGGCUUCAGAAUGAAAACUUGACCCCUCACUUAAAAAUUGAAGAAACUCUGGUCAAAUCUUCAUAACUACAAUGUAAACACAAAGUCACAGAAAGGUAUUCAGUCGAAAGAUGCUUUGUUAUCAACCAGAACAAUUGCAUUUCAGCAUUUUAUUUCAAUCCAGUGCAGAAGUCAGGAGAGCAAAGAUUUGUGUUUACCAGUCUCACCAGCUUCAAUGGCAUAGUUCUGAAGACAUCCCUGCAUUGAUGGUUCUGGUCCACCUGAAGUACAACAACAGUAAAAUCACUUCAGAAUCCAAUUACAACAGGAACAAAAUAUUCUGAAUGAUGUACUCUGCCAUUACGUACCAGUUUCAGUACUUAGAGUUCGCAUUGAAACCAGAGUAAUGCUCUCUUUUUCUCCAUUAGCCUGAGAGCUGAGGGAAAAUGCAAUUAUACAGAUUUUUAAAAAUCAUUAAUACCUGUAUCAAUUAUUACUAUUCAAUUUUUAACAAAUUGUUCAAUGUGCUAUUGAAGUAUCUAAAUGUAACUUACCUUUCUGAUGGCGCGGCAUUCCUUGCCUUCCUUAUAUCUAUAGAAUUAAAAAUAAAUAUGAACUUAUCAAAGAAUGAACAGCAAGAUAUGAACAAAACACUUUGAUGAAUAGUUUCUUUUUCAUCCUUUUACAGUAGCUGCUUACGUGUUUCUUUCUGAAAAAUGUAGUGAUUGUAAUAGCUGACAGUUUCUAGUCAUUAAAUAAGUAAUAAAUUACUGUGUAAAACAUGGUUUGAAAUUUAUAUGCUAAAAAUGAAAGUUGUACUUUUUCAUGACUCGAGUUUUAAAGACAAUCUUAUUGAUAAAAUACAUGCUGCUAUAUUGGUUAGUUCUCGGUAAAUUUUGGCAGUAAAGUAUCGUAAAUGGGUUGGCUACCUUGUGAUGCAUCUUGAAAAUCACAACAUUUAAAUCGUAGACUGAUGACACUGAAGAGGAUCACCACAACUAUUACAAGGAUCAAGAUCAAGAUGAUCACAGCUGAAAGCAUAUACAAAAUAUCUGUAAGGUGGAAAUGCUAGAUCUUAUAAAGAUAAUUUCAAUAUGA